UACGAGUGCCCCAAGCGUUAUCCGGAUUUAUUGGGCGUAAAGCGUACGUAGGUGGUUUAUCGCAUCUCCUGUUAAAUCCCGAGGCUCAACCUCGGGGCUGCGGGAGAGAUGGCUAAACUAGAGACAGGGAGAGGCAAGUGGAAUUGCUGGUGUAGGGGUUAAAUCCGUUAAUAUCAGCAAGAACACCCAAAGUGAAGACAGCUUGCUAGAACUGUUCUGACACUAAGGUACGAAAGCGUGGGUAG
rnacentral:rRNA from 1 species